UAUCUGCCCACUGCUGGACAUAUGCCUUC
rnacentral:sRNA from 1 species